AAGAGCGUGUAGGCGGGUAAAUAAGUUGGAAGUGAAAUCCUAUGGCUCAACCAUAGAACUGCUUCCAAAACUGUUAACCUAGAAUGUGGGAGAGGUAGAUGGAAUUUCUGGUGUAGGGGUAAAAUCCGUAGAUAUCAGAAGGAAUACCGAUUGCGAAGGCGAUCUACUGGAACACAAUUGACGCUGAGACGCGAAAGCGUGGGGAGCAAACAGGAUUAGAUACCCUGGUAGUCCACGCCCUAAACGAUGUACACUAGUUGUUGUGAGGCUAGACCUUGCAGUAAUGCAGUUAACACAUUAAGUGUACCGCCUGGGGAGUACGGUCGCAAGAUUAAAACUCAAAGGAAUAGACGGGGACCCGCACAAGCGGUGGAGCAUGUGGUUUAAUUCGACGAUACGCGAAGAACCUUACCUGGUCUUGACAUAGAAAGAACUUUCCAGAGAUGGAUUGGUGCCUGCUUGCAGGAGCUUUCAUACAGGUGCUGCACGGCUGUCGUCAGCUCGUGUCGUGAGAUGUUGGGUUAAGUCCCGCAACGAGCGCAACCCUCGUCGUUAGUUGCUAACAGUUCGGCUGAGAACUCUAACGAGACUGCCUACGCAAGUAGGAGGAAGGUGAGGACGACGUCAAGUCAUCAUGGCCCUUACGACCAGGGCUACACACGUGCUACAAUGGGGUAUACAAAGAGCAGCAAUACGGUGACGUGGAGCGAAUCUCAAAAAUGCCUCCCAGUUCGGAUUGUAGUCUGCAACUCGACUACAUGAAGUUGGAAUCGCUAGUAAUCGUAGAUCAGCUAUGCUACGGUGAAUACGU
rnacentral:rRNA from 1 species